rnacentral:rRNA from 1 species
UACGGGGGGGGCAAGCGUUGUUCGGAAUUACUGGGCGUAAAGGGCUCGUAGGCGGCCAACUAAGUCAGACGGUAAAUCCCUCGGCUUAACCUGGGAACUGCGUUUGAUACGGAUGGGCUAGAGUUCGGGAGAGGAGAGUGGAAUUCCCAGUGUAGAGGUGAAAUUCGUAGAUAUUGGGAAGAACACCGGUGGCGAAGGCGGCUCUCUGGACCGAGACUGACGCUGAGGCGCGAAAGCGUGGGGAGCAAACGGG